GUGUUAAUUUUUCGACCGAUUCCAAUACUUUACCUUACACACUAGAUGUGUGCGGAAAAGUAAAAAUUAAAUAAAAAAGGAAAUCUAACCCGAUUUUUGCCAAAAUGUCAGCAAUAGAUUUGGCGUGGUAGUCUUCGAUGGUUGUGCUGUAAUUUGCACAUUAAUUGAUUGAACGUUGACACCUUCAAAUAAUAAAUCAUUCGAUUGGUAUGGUAGAAGAGUGUUUUUGUACUUUAAACAUAUCGAAUUUAUGAAUGCAUGCCAACGAUAGAAAAUUGGAUCUCUCAUCGCCUAAAAUAUUCAAAAUGGAACAGGAAUGAGAUGAAAUUUAUAUAGUUUGCCAAAGCAAAACAAAAAUCUGAUUAAAAGCAGUUGGCCGGGUUUAUGUGAAGAAAAGAAUAAAAUAUGGAAAGUUAAAUGGAUAUUUUAUAUAAAUAUGAGAACAUUUUAUGUGUAAAAAUAAUUUGGCAAUAUUACCGUUGUUACAUCAGCCAUAACGCCAUAAUCUUCUAAAUGACGGCCAUCAGGAUCGUGUACAAAUGCGAUUAUCUAUCAUAUUAAUCGAAUUACAUUAAUUUCAUUACAUAAAUUGAUUGAUAAAAUUCAAAAAUAUUUUUACACAUUACAUUGUGUCCAACAUUAUGUAAAUUUCCAUAGAGUUGUCGAUUUGGAGAAAUUGCACUAGCUUCAAGAAUAUUGCCCAACAAAUCGAUGCCAUUCAUUUCGUCAAGUCGAAUUUGCUUAUUUGUCCCUUGUUCAACAACAUAACCUUGAUCGAUAGCUUGAUGAAUACGAUCGCGCCACCGUUCCAAAUCGGCUAUUUCGACAAUAUUAUCAUCUCGAUUUAAGUCUUGCAGCUAAACAAAAUAAUCCAGAGGAACAUAAUCCAUGAGCAAUCAUUAUUAAAAAACUUCCACUUAUCCCUGAAACAAACCAUUGCAUUAUCGUGGCGAGCUGGAUAUGCUCGAUUGUUCAAACCCCGCACAAUUUUAGGGAAGUAACCUUCAGGUACGCGUUCACGUAAAUUAUUCAACGGUUUGACUCGUUCCAAGCGAUUACAAAAGCGAUCAUUGUUAUACCGUGCAAUAAGCUAUUUUAAAAUGUUAUAUUUCGAUAUUAGUUUCAACUGAAUUGAAGGAAGAGUUUAUAGGAAUUAUCUGUAAUAUUUACUUGACUGUGCAUAUAAUAGAAUAGUUCGCCACGACGAUCUUUUGAAACUAUUUUUAUUGGCCCCUCGCCCGGAUAAACUAAAUGCCAAUGCCAAUGGUGCAUAUUAACCCCGAUAUCUUCGCGAAAAUAGGCAAUCCGUUGCUCUUGUUCGCGAUCCGAUGCUGUAAAAUUCAUUUGAAUUUCGACCGGCAUACGGUCCUCGGCACGGACGAGCGACCCUUCUUCGCGGGCCCGUGGAAACGCGGAUGAAUCUAUAAAUUGAUCUGGAAAUUGUUGAACAAUCGAUGGCAAUGCAAUAUGUUGCGUUUCUCGUCGAUGUUGCACACUCGUCGCAAGUGCAUACUUCACCAUAAUGAAAUAGCAUAAAAAGCAUUAAAAAAUAUUUAAGAAAAUUGCACAAAUUAUUUAUUUAGUUACCAAAAACAAAUAUGGAUUAACGCGAUCCUUUAUGUAGGCAGCUGUUGAAAUGAAAUCCGAAGCACUUGCAUCCAUUAGUAUUUGUAUCAAAUUCCCAGCAAUUUGUUGAUGCGUUUUAUUGAAAAGAGAAAAAACGCCAGUGCGUUUAAUCGAUUUAGUGAACUCAAGAUCAGGGUGUUGAACUUGAUGCAAAGGUAUUGUUCGCUCAACAUUUUCUCCAAUACGUGAACUGACAUUUACACCAAUCGACUUAUAACGUUCCGUAUAGAAAUCCAAUGGCACAUCGAAUGCCAUUUUACCGCCAUCUUUUGCAGUGAACAACGGCUCGUUUGGCCGCUGAAACAACAAAUUUAUACCAUUUUCAAGUCCACUUUUAUUUUCCGCCAUUUCGAAAAGUUUCAGAACGUUUUCUUUAAUUCAACGACAACUCAGUUCAACUCAACUAUUACUGCUUGAACAAUAAUGAGUGCGCUUUAUAUACACAAGCGCUAUUGGUUUUUUUUUAUCAACAUAUUUAUUUCAACCGCAACUCAUGCAUACGCUAACAAGAGUUUUAAAGGAAAAGCGGUCAUUUCCGUUUUUUUUUUUGCAAAUUGUGGCACGCGCUCGGCUAUCGUUUUAAUUAUUACAUUGAAAAAAUGGCAUUUCGGAUUUUUCAAAUGUGGUUUUUAAUGAUGGUUAACAAAAACUGAGAGAAUAUUGUAGUUCUUUUUUAUAAAUUUGAAACGAAUUCAAAACAUUGAAUUGGCAUUAUCAACUAAUUAAUUUUAUUAUUGAUACAUUUAUUAUUUGGCAUGUACGUUAUUGACUGAAAGUCUAUCUUUUUUUGAGUUAUAUGAUUCAUUGAAUGAAUUUCAAUUAUUUAUUUAAACUUUCAACGUAUUCCUCCUAAUAGAUUUAAUUUAUAAAACUUUAAAUAGUCCACAAAAUACAGAAAAAAACCGGUACAGCUGUAUUUUUUUUAUUUGGGAUUGCCAUUAUAAUUUGGUCUUCCAGUUCCGGAUGGGCCACCGAAAUGACGAUUGUAGCCUGUAUCGAGUGAUGUGCGUCCGUUUUGACUUCCCCAUAUAUUGGCAUUUCCAGAAACACCAACAUCAGUUCCAAAACGAUGUACAAUGUACAUUAGGGCUCUCAAUUAGCGUUACAAUUAAAAGUUCCAACCUAUUACGAUGGAGAACACAGUGGUGCUUUUGAAGAACAUUCACUGCAAAGACGUCAUUCAAGCAAGGGCCAACACUAUCCUACUUUCAACAGAUGGCGUCAUCCAUCAGAAGUCCAAGCCAACUGCUUCUAUUUAUUUUUAAGAAAGUUAAGAAAUAAUACAUUUUCUAGCCAGAAUGAGAUAAACAAUUAUUUAAAAAAAAGCUCUCUUAUUCUAAUUCUCAUGAUUUUAAAAAUAACUCAAAUUAUUUCCCGCUCUUUUUAAUGGGAUGGAUCUCUUCAUAAUGAAAUAAAGUAUGAAAGCUUCUUCUUUGCUCUUUGUUAUUUGUCAUCAUUAUAUUCAUACAUAACUAUAUCAAAAAAAUAUAUAGCGUAAUUCAUUUUUAAUUUUGAA